rnacentral:rRNA from 1 species
GGCUAGCGUUGCUCGGAAUCACUGGGCGUAAAGCGCACGUAGGCGGCUUUCUAAGUCAGGGGUGAAAUCCUGGAGCUCAACUCCAGAACUGCCUUUGAUACUGGAGAGCUUGAGUCCGGAAGAGGUGAGUGGAACUCCGAGUGUAGAGGUGAAAUUCGUAGAUAUUCGGAAGAACACCAGUGGCGAAGGCGGCUCACUGGUCCGGUACUGACGCUGAGGUGCGAAAGCAUGGGGAGCGAACAGG